GACGAACGCUGGCGGCGUGCUUAACACAUGCAAGUCGAACGGAAAGGCCCUGCUUGCAGGGUACUCGAGUGGCGAACGGGUGAGUAACACGUGGGUGAUCUGCCCUGCACUUCGGGAUAAGCCUGGGAAACUGGGACUAAUACCGGAUAGGAGCCAUUUUUAGUGUGAUGGUUGGAAAGUUUUUUCGGUGUAGGAUGAGCUCGCGGCCUAGCGGCUUGGUGGUGGGGUAAUGGCCUACCGAGGCGGCGACGGGUAGCCGGCCUGAGAGGGUGGACGGCCACGUUGCGGCUGCGGUCCGGCCCCGACUCCGACGGGUGGCGGCCGUGGGGAGUAUUGCUCAAUCGGCGCCGGCCUGAUGCAGCGGCGCCGCGUCGGGUAUUGCGGCCUUCGCGUUGUAGACGCCUUUCGCUCGGGUCUAUGCGUUUUGUGACGGUACCUAGAUAAGAAGCGCCGGCUAACUACGUG
rnacentral:rRNA from 1 species